GACGAACGCUGGCGGCGUGCUUAACACAUGCAAGUCGAACGGAAAGGCCCCCAUCUUGGUGGGGGUGCUCGAGUGGCGAACGGGUGAGUAACACGUGGGUGAUCUGCCCUGUACUUCGGGAUAAGCUUGGGAAACUGGGUCUAAUACCGGAUAGGACCAUGGUUUAGUGUCUCAUGGUGGAAAGAUUAUUGUUUUGGUGCAGGAUGAGCUCGCGGCCUAUCAGCUUGUUGGUGGGGUAAUGGCCUACCAAGGCGUCGACGGGUAGCCGGCCUGAGAGGGUGGACGGCCACAUUGGGACUGAGAUACGGCCCAGACGCCUACGGGAGGCAGCAGUGGGGAAUAUUGCACAAUGGGCGCAAGCCUGAUGCAGCGACGCCGCGUGGGGGAUGACGGCCUUCGGGUUGUAAACUCCUUUCGUUAGGGACGAAGCCACGCUUGUUGGGUGUGGUGACGGUACCUUUGUGAAGAAGCACCGGCUAACUACGUG
rnacentral:rRNA from 1 species